GACGAACGCUGGCGGCGUGCUUAACACAUGCAAGUCGAACGGAAAGGCCCUGCUUUUGUGGGGUGCUCGAGUGGCGAACGGGUGAGUAACACGUGGGUAACCUGCCCUUGACUUUGGGAUAACUUCAGGAAACUGGGGCUAAUACCGGAUAGGAGCUCCUGCUGCAUGGUGGGGGUUGGAAAGUUUCGGCGGUUGGGGAUGGACUCGCGGCUUAUCAGCUUGUUGGUGGGGUAGUGGCUUACCAAGGCUUUGACGGGUAGCCGGCCUGAGAGGGUGACCGGCCACAUUGGGACUGAGAUACGGCCCAGACUCCUACGGGACGCAGCAGUGGGGAAUAUUGCACAAUGGGCGGAAGCCUGAUGCAGCAACGCCGCGUGCGGGAUGACGGCCUUCGGGUUGUAAACCGCUUUCGCCUGUGACGAAGCGUGAGUGACGGUAAUGGGUAAAGAAGCACCGGCUAACUACGUG
rnacentral:rRNA from 1 species